rnacentral:rRNA from 1 species
UUAAGCGACUAAGCGUACACGGUGGAUGCCCUGGCAGUCAGAGGCGAUGAAGGACGUGCUAAUCUGCGAAAAGCGUCGGUAAGGUGAUAUGAACCGUUAUAACCGGCGAUGUCCGAAUGGGGAAACCCAGUGCAAUUCGUUGCACUAUCGUUAACUGAAUACAUAGGUUAACGAGGCGAACCGGGGGAACUGAAACAUCUAAGUACCCCGAGGAAAAGAAAUCAACCGAGAUUCCCCCAGUAGCGGCGAGCGAACGGGGAGCAGCCCAGAGUCUGAAUCAGCUUGUGUUAGUGGAACGGUCUGGAAAGUCCGACGGUACAGGUGAUAGUCCCGUACACCAAAAUGCACAGGUUGUGAACUCGAAGAGUAGGGCGGGACACGUGGUAUCCUGUCUGAAUAUGGGGACCAUCCUCCAAGGCUAAAUACUCCUGACUGACCGAUAGUGAACCAGUACCGUGAGGAAAGGCGAAAAGAACCCCGGCGAGGGAGUGAAAAGAACCUGAAACCGUGUACGUACAAGCAGUGGGAGCACCUUCGGGUGUGACUGCGUACCUUUUGUAUAAUGGGUCAGCGACUUAUAUUCUGUAGCAAGGUUAACCGUAUAGGGAGCCGCAGGGAAACCGAGUCUUAACUGGGCGUUAAGUUGCAGGGUAUAGACCCGAAACCCGGUGAUCAGCCAUGGGCAGGUUGAAGGUUGGGUAACACUAACUGGAGGACCGAACCGACUAAUGUUGAAAAUUAGCGGAUGACUUGUGGCUGGGGUGAAAGGCCAAUCAAACCGGGAGAUAGCUGGUUCUCCCGAAAGCUAUUUAGGUAGCGCCUCGUGAACUCAUCUUCGGGGGUAGAGCACUGUUUCGGCUAGGGGGUCAUCCCGACUUACCAACCCGAUGCAAACUACGAAUACCGAAGAAUGUUAUCACGGGAGACACACGGCGGGUGCUAACGUCCGUCGUGAAGAGGGAAACAACCCAGACCGCCAGCUAAGGUCCCAAAGUCAUGGUUAAGUGGGAAACGAUGUGGGAAGGCACAGACAGCCAGGAUGUUGGCUUAGAAGCAGCCAUCAUUUAAAGAAAGCGUAAUAGCUCACUGGUCGAGUCGGCCUGCGCGGAAGAUGUAACGGGCUAAACCAUGCACCGAAGCUGCGGCAGCGACACUAUGUGUUGUUGGGGAGCGUUCUGUAAGCCUGCGAAGGUGUGCUGUGAGGCAUGCUGGAGGUAUCAGAAGUGCGAAUGCUGACAUAAGUAACGAUAAAGCGGGUGAAAAGCCCGCUCGCCGGAAGACCAAGGGUUCCUGUCCAACGUUAAUCGGGGCAGGGUGAGUCGACCCCUAAGGCGAGGCCGAAAGGCGUAGUCGAUGGGAAACAGGUUAAUAUUCCUGUACUUGGUGUUACUGCGAAGGGGGGACGGAGAAGGCUAUGUUAGCCGGGCGACGGUUGUCCCGGUUUAAGCAUGUAGGCUGAUUGUCCAGGCAAAUCCGGAUAAUCAAGGCUGAGGUGUGAUGACGAGGCACUACGGUGCUGAAGUAACAAAUGCCCUGCUUCCAGGAAAAGCCUCUAAGCAUCAGGUAACAUUAAAUCGUACCCCAAACCGACACAGGUGGUCAGGUAGAGAAUACCAAGGCGCUUGAGAGAACUCGGGUGAAGGAACUAGGCAAAAUGGUGCCGUAACUUCGGGAGAAGGCACGCUGGUGUGUAGGUGAAGUCCCUGCGGAUGGAGCUGAGACCAGUCGAAGAUACCAGCUGGCUGCAACUGUUUAUUAAAAACACAGCACUGUGCAAACACGAAAGUGGACGUAUACGGUGUGACGCCUGCCCGGUGCCGGAAGGUUAAUUGAUGGGGUUAUCCGUAAGGAGAAGCUCUUGAUCGAAGCCCCGGUAAACGGCGGCCGUAACUAUAACGGUCCUAAGGUAGCGAAAUUCCUUGUCGGGUAAGUUCCGACCUGCACGAAUGGCGUAAUGAUGGCCAGGCUGUCUCCACCCGAGACUCAGUGAAAUUGAACUCGCUGUGAAGAUGCAGUGUACCCGCGGCAAGACGGAAAGACCCCGUGAACCUUUACUAUAGCUUGACACUGAACAUUGAGCCUUGAUGUGUAGGAUAGGUGGGAGGCUUUGAAGCGUGGACGCCAGUCUGCGUGGAGCCAACCUGAAAUACCACCCUUUAAUGUUUGAUGUUCUAACGUUGGCCCCUGACCGGGGUUGCGGACAGUGUCUGGUGGGUAGUUUGACUGGGGCGGUCUCCUCCCAAAGCGUAACGGAGGAGCACGAAUGUUAGCUAAUCCGGUCGGACAUCAGGAGGUUAGUGCAAUGGCAUAAGCUAGCUUGACUGCGAGCGUGACGGCGCGAGCAGGUGCGAAAGCAGGUCAUAGUGAUCCGGUGGUUCUGAAUGGAAGGGCCAUCGCUCAACGGAUAAAAGGUACUCCGGGAUAACAGGCUGAUACCGCCCAAGAGUUCAUAUCGACGGCGGUGUUUGGCACCUCGAUGUCGGCUCAUCACAUCCUGGGGCUGAAGUAGGUCCCAAGGGUAUGGCUGUUCGCCAUUUAAAGUGGUACGCGAGCUGGGUUUAGAACGUCGUGAGACAGUUCGGUCCCUAUCUGCCGUGGGCGCUGGAGAAUUGAGGGGGGCUGCUCCUAGUACGAGAGGACCGGAGUGGACGCAUCACUGGUGUUCGGGUUGUCAUGCCAAUGGCACUGCCCGGUAGCUAAAUGCGGAAGAGAUAAGUGCUGAAAGCAUCUAAGCACGAAACUUGCCCCGAGAUGAGUUCUCCCUGAGACUUUAAGUCUCCUGAAGGAACGUUGAAGACGACGACGUUGAUAGGCCGGGUGUGUAAGCGCAGCGAUGCGUUGAGCUAACCGGUACUAAUGAACCGUGAGGCUUAACCU